rnacentral:rRNA from 1 species
AGAGUUUGAUCCUGGCUCAGGAUGAACGCUGGCGGUAUGCUUAACACAUGCAAGUCGAACGGAACUCUUCGGAGUUCAGUGGCGGACGGGUGAGUAACGCGUGAGAAUCUGGCUUCAGGUUCGGGACAACCAUUGGAAACGAUGGCUAAUACCGGAUGUGCCGCAGGGUGAAAGAUUAAUUGCCUGAAGAUGAGCUCGCGUCUGAUUAGCUAGUUGGUGGGGUAAGAGCCUACCAAGGCGACGAUCAGUAACUGGUCUGAGAGGAUGACCAGUCACACUGGGACUGAGACACGGCCCAGACUCCUACGGGAGGCAGCAGUCGGGAAUUUUGGGCAAUGGGCGAAAGCCUGACCCAGCAACGCCGCGUGAAGGAUGAAGUCUUUCGGGAUGUAAACUUCGUAAGAAUAGGAAGAAUAAAUGACGGUACUAUUUGUAAGGUCCGGCUAACUACGUGCCAGCAGCCGCGGUAAUACGUAGGGACCAAGCGUUGUUCGGAUUUACUGGGCGUAAAGGGCGCGUAGGCGGCGUGUCAAGUCAAUUGUGAAAUCUCCGGGCUUAACUCGGAACGGUCAAUUGAUACUGAUGUGCUAGAGUGCAGAAGGGGCAAUCGGAAUUCUUGGUGUAGCGGUGAAAUGCGUAGAUAUCAAGAGGAACACCUGAGGUGAAGACGGGUUGCUGGGCUGACACUGACGCUGAGGCGCGAAAGCUAGGGUAGCAAACGGGAUUAGAUACCCCGGUAGUCCUAGCCCUAAACGAUGAAUACUUGGUGUCUGGAGUUUUAAUUCUCCGGGUGCCGUCGCUAACGUUUUUAGUAUCCGCCU